GCUUACCUGCAAGUCGACGGUGAACUCAGGGCUUGCCCUGGGGGAUCAGUGGCGAACGGGUGAGUAACACGUGAGCAACCUGCCCCUGACUCUGGGAUAACUCCGGGAAACCGGUGCUAAUACCGGAUAUGACCUGCGCGGGCAUCUGUGUGGGUGGAAAGAUUUAUUGGUCAGGGAUGGGCUCGCGGCCUAUCAGCUUGUUGGUGGGGUGAUGGCCUACCAAGGCGACGACGGGUAGCCGGCCUGAGAGGGCGACCGGCCACACUGGGACUGAGACACGGCCCAGACUCCUACGGGAGGCAGCAGUGGGGAAUAUUGCUCAAUGGGCGCAAGCCUGAAGCAGCGACGCCGCGUGAGGGAUGAAGGCCUUCGGGUUGUAAACCUCUUUCAGCAGGGAAGAAGCGAAAGUGACGGUACCUGCAGAAGAAGCACCGGCUAACUACGUGCCAGCAGCCGCGGUAAUACGUAGGGUGCAAGCGUUGUCCGGAAUUAUUGGGCGUAAAGAGCUCGUAGGCGGUCUGUCGCGUCUGCUGUGAAAACCUGGGGCUUAACCCUGGGCCUGCAGUGGGUACGGGCAGACUAGAGUGCGGUAGGGGAGACUGGAAUUCCUGGUGUAGCGGUGAAAUGCGCAGAUAUCAGGAGGAACACCGGUGGCGAAGGCGGGUCUCUGGGCCGUAACUGACGCUGAGGAGCGAAAGCAUGGGUAGCGAACAGGAUUAGAUACCCUGGUAGUCCAUGCCGUAAACGUUGGGCGCUAGGUGUGGGGCUCAUUCCACGAGUUCCGUGCCGCAGCAAACGCAUUAAGCGCCCCGCCUGGGGAGUACGGCCGCAAGGCUAAAACUCAAAGGAAUUGACGGGGCCCCGCACAAGCGGCGGAGCAUGCGGAUUAAUUCGAUGCAACGCGAAGAACCUUACCAAGGCUUGACAUGCAGGGAAAUCCUCCAAAGAUGGGGGGUCCGCAAGGGUCCUGCACAGGUGGUGCAUGGUUGUCGUCACCUCCGGUCCUGAAAUGUUGGGUUAAUUCCGCAACGAGCGCACCCUCGUUCUUUUUUCCCCCCCGUGAUGGGGGGACUCUAGAAGGAUCCCGG
rnacentral:rRNA from 1 species